GGAGAGGUGACGGAGUGGUCGAUCGUGGCGGUCUCGAAAACCGUUGUAGGUUUGCGCCUACCGUGGGUUCGAAUCCCACCCUCUCCGCCA
rnacentral:tRNA from 6 species